rnacentral:tRNA from 1 species
GGUCUUAUAGUCAAUAAAUGAUGUUAGAAUGCAAUUCUAAAGGAAUAAUAUAAAUUAUUAAGACUU